rnacentral:rRNA from 1 species
AUUGAACGCUGGCGGCAGGCCUAACACAUGCAAGUCGAGCGAGCGGCGGACGGGUGAGUAAUGUAUGGGGACUGCCCGAUAGAGGGGGAUAACUACUGGAAACGGUAGCUAAUACCGCAUACUAUCGGAUAACCCAUAUGGGAUUAGCUAGUCGGUGAGGUAAUGGCUCACCUAGGCGACGAUCCCUAGCUGGUCUGAAAGGAUGAUCAGCCAAACUGGGAGUAAGAGAGGGCCAGGACUCCUACGGAGGCAUCAGUGGGGAAUAUUGCACAAUGGGCACAAGCCUGAUGCAGCCAAGCCACGUAAAUGAAGAAGGCCCUAGGGUUGUAGAGUACUUUCAGUCGAGAGGCGUUACCGACAGAAGAAGCACCGGCUAACUCCGUGCCAGCAGCCGCGGUAAUUC